rnacentral:rRNA from 1 species
GACGAACGCUGGCGGCGUGCUUAACACAUGCAAGUCGAACGGAAAGGCCCUGCUUUUGUGGGGUGCUCGAGUGGCGAACGGGUGAGUAACACGUGAGUAACCUGCCCUUGACUUUGGGAUAACUUCAGGAAACUGGGGCUAAUACCGGAUAGGAGCUCCUGCUGCAUGGUGGGGGUUGGAAAGUUUCGGCGGUUGGGGAUGGACUCGCGGCUUAUCAGCUUGUUGGUGGGGUAGUGGCUUACCAAGGCUUUGACGGGUAGCCGGCCUGAGAGGGUGACCGGCCACAUGGGGACUGAGAUACGGCCCAGACUCCUACGGGAGGAAGCAGUGGGGAAUAUUGCACAAGGGCGGAAGCCUGAUGCAGCAACGCCGCGUGCGGGAUGACGGCCUUCGGGUUGUAAACCGCUUUCGCCUGUGACGAAGCGUGAGUGACGGUAAUGGGUAAAGAAGCACCGGCUAACUACGU